UAAAAGAAGGAAAAAAAAAAAAAAGGGAACCAUUGAAUUUUCUUCAAAGUCUAGAUCGUAGUUCUUCUCUAACUUUCAACGAGGUUUCGCUUUGAAGUCUGUACUAGUGGAACGACUCAAGGUCUUCCACUCAAAACAAAGAUGUCCAAGUGAAGUGGGCUCUUACCAUUGACAUGCAAGGGGCACAACCAUCAUUAAGUAUGCAUGCCAAUGAAAAGUAAAUCAGUCAAUUCCUUCUUUGCUGAUUAGUACGAGGCAAAUAAUGGAGCCACAUUGAAAAGUAAAUCAGUCAAUUCCUUCUAAGCGCUUGUGGCACAGUCAGCUUUUCAGUUUUCACUAAUGUGAGCUCUACAUUGGAUUCACGAGCAAAUUUGUCGUUUCACGGUUUCACCUACGCUGUAUCGUGUUUUGUCUUUGACUUUAUUGAACUCCACAAGCAAAUUUAUUUUUUUCAUCUAGUCAUAUAUUUUUACACGUAAGUCAUUUAAAAGAGUGUUAUAACAUUAGUUUUUUUUUUUUUAGCUAUGAAAUUAGUCACGUAAAUGAGUGUUUUACAAAAAAAAAUAUAUCUUUUAGAUUACUGGCAUAAAAGAGUGUUAUAAUAUUAGUCACGUAACACUACUUAAACCAACAUAUGACAAGUGCAUAAAAAUUUACCACGUUGAGUGCCUAAGUAGGUGGCAUGCCAAUUUCAAUUUGAAUUUGAAGUUCUAACAUGCCAAUUUGAAGGUGCUUUACAAAUUUUCUUGGAGAUGCUCUUACAACUAUCUUUUCUAUAAUUUUAUUUUCUUCUUAAGUGGCAUCACUCAUCUUUGGUGCAUCCAAUGGAACCCAGUGGAUCUAUAUCCUCCAUCCAUUAAAGUGGUGGUUCAGAUGUUGAAAGGAGAGAACUUAACCAUGCCUCCCAAUUCUUGUGCCUCUACAGGUCUUGCACGAACAAAUAAAAGUCCGCCUGCAGUCCCGGUACAUUAGGCUUUCAUGACUGCCGUGGUGUUUAGGGUUAACUAAAAAAUUUCCAAGCGAAUGGAACCACACACACAAAUUCACAAUAAGCUUGCCAAUCCACCGGUGAAGGAGCAGGCGAAGCGUGUUGUUCGUAAUGGACAGAAAGAUACCACCACUUCGCCUCUUUGUUGGACCAAAAAAGCAACAGAUGAGAGAUACGCAAAGCAGCUUCAAAGAAAGCACUAUUACUACUGCUUUAGUUAUGUGCUAAGUUGCACGCGCAAACACUUCAAUACAUUAGCGUAUCACGUAUCAGAUACAAAAACAAAUACAACACUUCGUAGCCACUCUUACGUGUGUGUCAUUGACUUUGAUUGGCGGACACUCCUUGGGGCACUUUUGAAAUUGAAUCAAAAUUUUAGGGUAAACUUGAAAAAUGAAAAAUAUUGUUUUAGGGAUAAUAUGAAAAUUAGAUUUAGAAGUACUGUUAGAGAACGCAAAUUUCUCUCUUGACGAGAUGACAUGAAUAUUAUUGAUGACCGAAUUGUACGUGAAGCCGCUCUAGUACGUAGUCAAUUGCAAUUUGGCCCAUUUUUCUUCAGCGUGUCUGAAAAUCUUAUUGUGGUCCUGUAAUCACGUGCACAAAAAUUAGUAAAAGAAAAAUAAAAGAGGAGGUGUGUUAUCCACU